rnacentral:tRNA from 2 species
GGGUCGUUAGCUCAGCGGUAGAGCUGCGGACUUUUAAUCCGUAGGUCGAAGGUUCGAAUCCUUCACGACCCACCA